rfam:Asian citrus Psyllid, Diaphorina citri - Florida Strain, whole genome shotgun sequence.
GCCUCGGUGGUGUAGUGGUCAAGAUACUUGCCUGGUAAACAGGAUGGCUUGGGUUUAAUCCCAGCCGAGGUA